UCUGGCGCUUAUGUCGGCGACCUUGGGCGGCGAGGGUCCCAGUGGAGAAUCUUGGCCGUAGGGAAGUCACCUCUGGUGUCUCUCCCCGCGGUAGCACCUCGCCCAGAACCCUGAAUAUUUUCGACCGGGAUUUGAAAAGGAAACAGAAGAACUGGGCAGCCCGGCAGCCCGAGCCGACCAAGUUUGACUACCUGAAGGAGGAGGUUGGAAGUCGGAUCGCAGACCGUGUAUAUGACAUACCCAGAAAUUUCCCCCUUGCUUUGGAUCUUGGUUGUGGAAGAGGUUACAUUGCACAAUAUUUGAAUAAGGAAACUAUUGGAAAGUUUUUCCAAGCCGACAUUGCAGAAAAUGCUUUGUUUGCAUUGGGUGAAUGACCUUCCUAGAGCACUUGAGCAGAUUCAUUAUAUUUUAAAACCAGAUGGAGUGUUUAUCGGUGCAAUGUUUGGAGGCGACACACUCUAUGAACUUCGGUGUUCCUUACAGUUAGCGGAAACGGAAAGGGAAGGAGGAUUUUCUCCACACAUUUCUCCUUUCACUGCUGUCAAUGACCUGGGACAUCUGCUUGGGAGAGCUGGCUUUAAUACUCUGACUGUGGACACUGAUGAAAUUCAAGUUAACUAUCCUGGAAUGUUUGAAUUGAUGGAAGAUUUACAAGAAAAAAAGUCCAGAAUGUUGA
rnacentral:sRNA from 1 species